AAAGAAUAAAAUGAGACGCUAAAAGUUUGGACCCGUGUAAGCUUAACUUGGUAGCAUAAAGACUCAAUAUUAUUUGAUUGGGUUUUAACAAGUCCCUCUCAUGUGACCAUCUCAUAUAGAUAUUUGUCCAUAACUUAAAUGAUAAUUAUAUAUCUUAUUCACAUGGGUGGAUAGAUAAUUAGGUCGUCAUUUAACUAAAUAAUGAAAAAAUAUUAAUAAGGAGAAGGAUGAAAUUAUUUGAACUGCAAAGUAAGCACUCUUUCACCUUGCACACUUCAAUUUUAAAAUUGUAAUUUUUACUCAAGCACACAAUGAAAACACCAAAAUGAUCACAAUUAGAAAUCCCUAUCAUUAUGCUUUUUUUUUGCCUUUCUGCAUUCACAAAAUGAUUUUUUUUCCCUCGUCUCUUAUUCCAUGUGAAUAUUGAGGGUCACUUAAUUAAACAAAUUUUUUUUCUCAACAAAUUUGCCAUCAUGAACGUUUUUUUCUCAACAAAUUUGCCAUCAUCUUAAUUUGUAUUCAUUGAGGACGCAAGAAAAUAUAAUAGAUUAAACUUUUAUCAGGCAUUGUGAGUUUAAUCAAUCUCUCACCAUUAACGAAAAUUAAUUGUAAUAUAAAGAUUCAAGAUUAAAUUGACGAGAUAGAGAAAAUUAGUACUAUCUAUUUGGUCCUGAGUAGUAUCAGUUUUUCUCCAAACAGUCAAAUCAGCCAGGCUAGCAACAUUUUAUCGAGCACUCUACAACUAGCAAUAAUACUGGAAAGCAGCUUUUAUAGCAAUGAUAUUCGUCAUACAGAUUAGGGGUGGGUAAAAUUAUAAUUGCCGCCAAAAAACAAAUCGUCAGUUUUUUUUUUUUUUGUAAAAAAAAAUCCAUCGAUUUAUAUGAGAGAAAGUAAAAAACCAAAAAAACUAGAAAAACGCAAAAGAAAAUGCAGGUCAAAUGAAAAAAAAUAAAUAAAUAAAACCUAACUAAAUCGAACAAAUUGAUUGGACUUUCAGUUCAGUUCAAAUUAUUAAUUUUUUGAAAAACUGACCAUCGGAAUUCAACUAAAUCUAAGUUCUAACCUUUGCCCAGUGCCCACCCCUAAAAUAAUAUAGAUGGCUUCUUUAAUUUUUAACUUCCAGCAAUUGUAAUUACACUUUUACAAUUGAAAAAAUAAUGCAAAGCCUAAUUAUUAUUAUUUUUUUUCAGUUACACUGCUCUGAUCAUUUUUCCAAUAGAGACGAUGCUUUCACUUUCAAGCACUGUAGAGAGAGGUGACUGAGAAAAGAUAUGGUUACUUACGUUUUUGGUGUUUAACGGCAACGCAGAUUGUCGAAUUGCUUGUAGUGUUGAACCCACAAUAAUUCCCUUAAUUUUCGCAGUCGUAGCAUCCAUCAAGAGCUUCCCAUCCUAAGACUACUGGAGUUGCCCUCGCCGUCGUGGCAAUAUCCUGAAGAGGUAAUCCACCAGGAAUCUCAACUGUUCCAGAUUUUCUGCAAGAUGGAGGCAUAUCCUCCACUGAAGAUUCGCUAUCUAUGGUACAGACAAGAUUGUUUUCAUUGCUAAGACAAUUGAUCGGUUCAAUUGGUCCAUACGAAGUCCAUCCUGGGGAAGCCUUCUCAAUUCACAUCUGUAAUGUUAAUACUGCUGUCCAGAUAAGAAAUUUCAUGGACAUAAUAAUCACCAGAGGAAGGAAGAUGCCAGAUUGUCUUGUCACUUAAGCAUGACAAUUCAAACCCUUCAAGGCCACAAUAUGUUGGUUGAGCUUUGAGUCUGAAGGGAUAUAUGAUCCUUGGGCUCUUAUUACUGCAUCUUGUUGGUUGACAGAAUUCAUAUUUAUCUGUCUUGUUGUCUUCCGCAGAAGCUUUGGCUAAUGUACAUGUGUAAAGUAGGAAGAGGAAGAGGAUUAUUAAACUCAUCACGAGGGACAUGGAGGGAGAGGGAGAGCGGAGUUUGAGUUAGAGCAGAGUUUGAGUUAUGCUUUUGGAGUAAUAAGGGAGAGGAGAGUUUGAUUGUCAGUUUGUCAUGGAAAAAGGUAGGAAAAUGGGUUUCUUUUAAAUUCUUCUGUUCUUUCCUUCUUUCUUUUCUCCUUUUUCUAAGUCAAUGGUAGCUCCAAAGAGACUAGUCAACUUCAAUAUCUGCCAAUAUCAGAUGCAUGGAGGAACAUGAUGAGACUUGCUGUUUGUGAUAUAGAUUUUAGUGAGAGUUGUGAAAGUAAUUUGUAGGUAAAGAAAUGAGAAAAUUAUGUUUUUAAGAUCAGUAAGUAAUGUUCUUUAGAAAACGGGUAAUUCCGAGCAGCUACCCUCCGCUUACCAUGAUAUAUCAGUGGGAGACUAAGGUCGUGUUUAGGAUCUAUGUGUCUUUUAAUUCACCAUUGUUGUGAGAUGAAAUUAUUAUCUAUUAAGUAAAAGUGGAUGUGUGGUGAUAGCUAGGUGUCUACGAUAUACUUUGGUAAUUGUACUUUAAAUUAAGUUCAGCAGGACCAGAGAGUUCAAACAAUACUCUAGCUCAAUCAGAUAUGCCGCACGCAGCGUUUCAAUAGUUUGAUGAAUGUACAUGAUCACAUGACAAACCUACAUCAUAUUCUGGUCGAUACGAGCAAAAUUGGAAUAUUCACAUCAAACAAUGAAUAUUACUGAAAUUUUUCAACAUAAUGUUAUAGAAUCCCUGGUAGCACGAGGACAAUUUAUUUCUUUUUUACACGUCAUUGCAAAAACUAAGCAUAACUAUCAUUGAAAGAACAUUCCUCAAUCAAUUCAGACACUAACAACUCUGUUGAAGAAUCUGAUUCAAUCUCUCUUCCGGAGAUAUGUCGAGAAGAAGAGAAGAAAGGUUUCGGAGGCAUUUGCAAAUCGUCGAUACUCCCUUCUAACAUUUCCAAAACUUUUGUCAUGGAGGGGCGAUCAGCUGGCUUCACCUGAAUACACCAUAAACCAAUCAUACAUAGUUUCCUUGCAAUCACGGACUCGAUUUCAGUCACAUUCCGAAGCUCUAAAUCACCUCCCUUAUUUAAUUGGUCAUAUACCCAAGAUGGGAAAUAUGCUUUGCUUGAACGAGUUGCAUUCAUAUUAGAAUUCCUUCUUCCUCCAGCCAUUUCCAACAACACCAUCCCAAAACCGUAAACGUCAGACCUGAAAGAAACAGUUCCAAAAUUUCUUGAAAUCAGCUCCGGUGCUAUGUAUCCUAUGGUUCCUCUUGUGGCACUGAGGGACACAAAAUCAUUUUCCUUGGGAUGAAACUUUGCAAGGCCGAAAUCUGAGACCUUUGGGAUGAAAUUAUGAUCUAGCAGGAUGUUGUGAGGUUUAAUGUCGAAAUGAAGAAUGCAGACAUCACAUCCGCUGUGUAAAUACUCGAUCCCACGGGCAGUUCCUAAAGAAACUUCGUGGAGUUUCUCCCAACUAAAAGAUUGGCCUCUACUUUCCUUAGGAAAGAUAUGCCUAUCGAGUGAUCCAUUAGGCAUAAACUCGUAGACAAGUGCGCGUUUGGAUCCCUCAGAACAGAACCCCAAUAACUGGACCACAUUAACGUGGUGAAUUCUACCUAUUGUUGAAACUUCGUUGAUGAAUUCCUCCGCACUGAACUUGGAGUUCUCCAGCAUCUUAACAGCAAUCAAGCGACCGGUAUGAAGUUGUCCUUUAUAAACUGAACCAAAGCCACCUUGGCCUAAUUUAUUAGUGAAGUGGUUUGUCACGGCAAUUAUCUCCGGGUAAGAGUACCUUUUAGGCAUCCACGAUUGAUGGUUGUGCAGAAAUUUCUCAAUAUUAUCAACUGUUUGCAAUGUCGUUCUCUAUUUGUGGAUAAGGAACACGAGAAAGACUAUUGGAGCAAGAAUAAAUCUGCCAAUUAUCAGAACAUCAACUGGAAACCCUGGUAAAGAGAACGUUUAUUGAAAGUAAAUAGUAGUAAGCAAAGCAAUAAAAAAAGGAUCCUGGAGAGGAGAUUUUACCUAACACAGAACUUAUCCCAUAAAUUACACUGUAAACUGCAAUUGGAGAGGGGGAAAAAAAUAAAUAAGCUUUAUACCUAAUCAGAGAGAUGAUUCAGAAAAAUUAUACAGUAAAAGAUUAGAGAAUAUAUGAAGCCGUCGCAUUUAUAAGGAUAUGCUUACGUGUAAGUUAUGAGUAGCAAAUAAUUUUUGCCCCUACUCCUUCAUUGUAGAUGCAAUCUGUUACAAAAGUGGAAAGAAACAGAAAUUAAAGGUCAUAUUGGUAUGCUCCUAGAGAUAGUUCACAAAUUCUUUAUUACGUACAAUAUUGGAAAACAAAAACAAAGCCCUUGCAUUUGAAUGCAUAAAUAAAUAUAAGCAUAAGCUUACAGCGAGGCAUCAUUAAGAGGCUCCAACUCGAAUCUGACCAUGUAAGAUCGAACCCUGACUCCAGCGAUUUUCGGAGGUCUUCAUAAGAAAGUUUGUCCGCGCUCCUAUUAAGCACUACAGGAACCUUUGAAAUGAAGGCGCAUGAGUCUGGAAGAUGUGAUAGACUGGUGGCGAUUAAAUCAUAUCCAACAUAAACAUAGACAUUCGACUGAUUGUUACUCAAACAUGGAACUUUCGCAUACGCCUUAUCAACAAUAUUACUCGAGCAAUUCACGUAAUAGGCGUAUGAAUUAAGAUUGUAAUCAAAAUAAUAUCUGAAAAUUAAACCAGGUGGGGAAAAAGAAGUGGAUGGGAAGCUGCAGCUUCCAUAGGCUAAGUUAGCAUCGACAACACUGAUUGUACUCUUAUCAUAGGAAAUUCUCUUCACAUAGUACUUUCCAGAAUUGGAUUCUAAGAUGGUUUUGUUGCUCUCGCAAGAAAGUUCUAACUCCGGAUGACCGCAUCCAGCUGGAUCGCCCUUGAGGUGAAGAGGGUAGCUUAUGUUUUUGCCAUCUCCACAAGAAGAAGAACACUUUUCUACUUCAAGUUUUCUUGCUUCAAUUUCACUGGUGCUGAAUACAAACAUCAACAGACAAAACAGAAAAGUUGAGAAAAUUGAAGCUUCUUCACUACUCAUUGCUCCUCCAAUUGCAGGACACAAAUAACGAAUUUGAAUCAACUAAGCAGAACGGUGUAUAAGUGUUAAUGUACUAUGUUUUCUACAGUUUCACUUGCACGGUGAGAGGCGGGCUUUAAACUUAUCAUAGUUUAGUAUACAACUAUGUGAUUGAAUUAAUUAGCAAUAAAUAAUUUGUUUAAAAAUAAUAUUAAUUAUUCAUAAAAUGAAAUCGACACGAGGGAAGAAAAUUUUUAAUUACUGAGUGCGAGGCUUCAAGCAUUAAUGCAAUGGAAGAUAAAGGGACAAAUCUAGAUAAACAUGUUCAAUUUCGUUUCUUACUGUAAAUUUUGUAUGCGGAUGCCACGGAGCUUCUGAAGUCUCUUUCCACGAUUUGUUUAGGUGGAAGCUUUCAGAUUUCAAUGGGGAAGUCAAUACGGCAAAGUGAAGUCGCUUAAUUUCCUGGUAAUUGUAAAUGAGUUAGCAUCGGUGGGAAUGGGUUGAUCCAUCCAUCCCCAUCCUAGCUUGACCUCAAAUUUCUUAGUAAACGUUCUUCAAUGCAGUCCAAUUCCAGUCAAUAUCUUUCGCUUACUUUAUUAUUAUUAUUUUUUAAUAGGGUUUGGAGAAACGCGGCAUUGGAAAUUUGGAACAAUGAGGACUUCUCAUGUCAUGUUCACGUGUUUCUAAAAAUUAUGGUUGUUGUUGUAAUAAUAAUAAUAAUAACUGCUNNNNNNNNNNNNNNNNNNNNNNNNNNNNNNNNNNNNNNNNNNNNNNNNNNNNNNNNNNNNNNNNNNNNNNNNNNNNNNNNNNNNNNNNNNNNNNNNNNNNNNNNNNNNNNNNNNNNNNNNNNNNNNNNNNNNNNNNNNNNNNNNNNNNNNNNNNNNNNNNNNNNNNNNNNNNNNNNNNNNNNNNNNNNNNNNNNNNNNNNNNNNNNNNNNNNNNNNNNNNNNNNNNNNNNNNNNNNNNNNNNNNNNNNNNNNNNNNNNNNNNNNNNNNNNNNNNNNNNNNNNNNNNNNNNNNNNNNNNNNNNNNNNNNNNNNNNNNNNNNNNNNNNNNNNNNNNNNNNNNNNNNNNNNNNNNNNNNNNNNNNNNNNNNNNNNNNNNNNNNNNNNNNNNNNNNNNNNNNNNNNNNNNNNNNNNNNNNNNNNNNNNNNNNNNNNNNNNNNNNNNNNNNNNNNNNNNNNNNNNNNNNNNNAAAAGAAUUUAAAUACUUUAUAAUAUGGUGAUGAUUUUAUUUUAAGUCUCUAAUUUUUAACUUACUGAAAUCAUGUAUUUAUACCUAAUAUAAAAUAGAUAAAUGGGGAAUGGGGUGGGAAUGGGGAAAGCAUUCCCCACAUGGGGAUUCCCCAUCCCCACCCCACUAAAUUUAUUGGGGAAUGGGGUGGGAAAUGGAGGCAAAAAUUUCUAACGGGGUGGGGAAUGGGGUAGGCCUCCCCACCCCCACCCCACCCCAUUGCCAUCCCUAUGUGUGACGGCACUAAUAUGCCAUUAGUGUUUUUAUUACUUUUUUUCAAUUAAUUAAUAUACAGUAUAUUAGUAAAUUCACGUGUUAAAAUAUGUAGAAAUCCACGCAUAACAAUAUAUAUAUGUGUGUGUGCGCUUGUGUCUACAUAUACACACACACUUUUGACAAAAUCAGUUACGUCAAAAAAUGCCAUGAGGAUAUUAGUCUAUCCUUGCGCAUUGGGGACUAAUUGAGCUUUUUAAUGAUUUAAAUUUCAAAUGCUCAAUAUGAGUUGGGCUUCGUAUUGAGACCACCAAAGUUCAACAAAAAAAACAUAAAUCAUUAAUUACACUGUGAUUAUGGAAACAAGUAAAUAUAUAAUAAAAUAAUAUUAAAAAAUUAACAGUCGAAUACGUAGUUUGAUCAUGGGAUAUAAUAGCAUAUAAUAGAUUAUUAGAAUAACAAAAGAGAUUAAAUUAAUAAUUUUUUUAAUCAUAUACGACGUUCAUUAAUCUCAAGUGGAUUAGAGUACAAAUGGUAUAGUUUAUGACAAAAAUUUAGAUCAAUUUAUAUGUUAUUCAUCACACACAUGAUAUAGAUGGAAAAAGUUAGACCAACGGUAUAAUACUAGUUAGGCGCAGAAGGAAAGAAAAUCAAUGUGUCCUGAUAUUUCCACUUUACUAACAUACAACAAAUUCGAGCUAAGGAUAUCUUGAAUCUUAUGCUUGGUGCAACAUUUUGAUGUGUCUUCAUAAGCUAAUUUUUCAUGUGGUUUUUAGAACUCUCCAUUUCCGAUUCAAGAUUGGUUCUAUGAGUAGCCCUCUUUGCCGUCAAGAGUCAAAGUGUCACUAUGAUAUUUUAUGAAGGCAAAUCACUUCUGCAUAGAUUUCCUCUCCAUCAAAUGUUUUCGCAUUAAUUUUGUGACAUUGUAACGAGUUCUGUUGUGUUUCAUGUGGUAUGUAGUUCUGCCGUAAAUGGCUUUAAUGAAACAAUCGCUCAUUUCAAAUGUCGCAGCUGCAUUAGUAUAAUGUAUAUAUUGAUGUAAAAUAUUGAUCAAAUGUCGAAUUCAAAUCCAUAAAAUAAAAAUAUUGAUCAAAUGAUUAACUUGGUAGCCGAUAUGGGAAUAGUAGUCUCAUUGAAAAUGUGCUAAAAAAACAAUAUAAUAAUGUAUCUAUUGCGAAAGGCGAACAAGAAAAAGAGGGAAAGUAAUGUAGACUUGAUUUCUCGCCAGCCUAAAAGGGGGAAGCACUUCAUAAAUUAAUGCUUUUAAGCCUGCAACCAUUUAAUUGGCAUCAUGCAUUCAAAGUCCUUGCUACUGUAAACAAUUUAUCAAGUACUUUAAUUUCGUGCCGCUAUGGAUAUGCACGCUUCCAUGGCCAUUCAGCAGCUAUUUAAUAUUGUGGAGACAAAAGCGUAUCGAUUGGUGAUUUUUUUCCUUCAUUAAUAUUUGGUGCAUGUGUUUGUUUUGAUUCAAGUGGAGGGCGCUAAUUUUCUGAACUUUUGUUGACAGAAGAUAGAGAACACAUAAAUUAAAAUGCCAUUAAUCAAACGCAUUUUAAAUCUUUGUGCUCUCUAUAUUCUGUCAUCAACGUGCAGAUUCAUUUGGCCCUCAAAACUGUAGUGAUCUACUGAUCUUCUUCCAGGUGCUACUUGUUGAUUUUCGUUUGAUUAUUAUUUUAUUUGUUCACACACACACAGAGACACACACAUACAUACAUAUACAUAUACACUCAUAAUAUAAUUAUAAGUUAUGUAUACACAACUAAACCCAUCAUAUAUAUAUCCUCCAUGCAUGCAUAUCUAUAUUGUGAAAUGAGGCAAAUGGCGGCAUAUUGGCAUAUAGAAUGAAACACCGUUUGAGGAGUUGAGAGAGAUUCAGAAUUUGGACUGCUCAUGUGACUUGCUUCAGGGUGGACGCUUUGGGCUUUUCAUAGGAGUAGAAUUAAAAGCCCACUAAUGACUUGGGCUAUUCAUUGAGGCAGCCACAGUCCAUAAAGAAGCACAAAGCCAUGAGCUGUUUCAAUUGUUUUGUUCUUUUUUUUACCUUCUAGUCUGAUUCACUUUCAAAGAAGCAGAAAGCCACCGGACGGCCGUUAUAUAUAUAUAUAUAUGAUAUAAAUAUUUUAAUUUUCAAGAUAAAAGAUAUAUUUGUCUAAAAAAAAUUAAAAUUUCUUUUCUUAUCAAAUUUUAUAUCAAACCAAACAAUAAAAUUUAAUUGCACUAUUUUUCUCUACUCCUUUAUUCUUCCUUCCUCUCCAUUCCACUAUUUUCAUCUUUUCCCUUUCCUUCAAACCAAAACAUAACCUAAAAGUUUGGCCUUUACUUUCCUUGGAAAAGAUAUUCCUCUCGAGUGAUCCAUUAGGCAUAAACUCAUAAACUCAUAGAUAAGUGCACGUUUGGAUCCCUCAGAAUAAAACCCGAAUAAUUGGACUACAUUAACGUGGUGAAUUUUACCAAUUGUUGAAACUUCAUUGAUGAAUUGCUCCGCACUGAACUUGGAGUUCUCCAGCAACUUAAUAGCAAUCAAGCGACCAGUAUGAAGUUGUCCUUUAUAAACGGAACCAAAGCCACCUUGGCCUAAUUUAUAAGUGAAGUGGUUUGUCAUGGCAAUCAUCUUAGGGUAAGAGUACCUUUUAGGCAUCCACGAUUGCUGGUUGCGUAGAAAUUUCUCAAUACUAUCAACUGUUUUUAGUGUCGUUCUGUAUUUGUGGAUAAGGAACACAAAGUAAAACUGUUGAACCAAUAAUGAACCUAGUAAUUAUAAGAUACACGAAUGCACCGUCUGGAAAUAAGAAAGUUUAAUUCUAAGUAACUAGCUGACUCGAAAUAACAAGAACAUGAAUUCCAGCCAGGAAACCAUACCUACUAAUAACAAUUCGAGGUCGUCCUAAGGUGGCGGGAGUUUGUAGUAAACUGCAACCCGAGGAAAAAAGAUUAGGCUUUACAUACUCAUACUCAAGAGAGAUGAUUCAGAAAAAGUUAUUAAGCACAAGAUUGGAAAAUAAAUAAACAAAUCACAUGAUGCCAUCAAUUUAACACCAAAAAACACAAUCGCAAAGUUUAAAAUGUGUAAGCAUAGUGUCACGGGAUGAGUGUGUUGCGCAACAAACCCGUGCGGCACUUAGACAACCUUUGCCGAAUGUUGCUAAGUAAGCCUUGAACUUCUCAACUAGCUUAGCUUAGCUUAGAGGCUUUCGAAAAGCUAAAGAGAAGAGAGCAAUGGAGCCGAAUAAGAGAAAUUAUAUUGCUUACAAGAGAGAUUACAAGAGAGCUUACAAGUGUUUGAGUUGUUUGAUCUAAGCUUGUUGCUCAAAUGUCAAAUGUCAUGCCUAUUUAUAGGGGAGGCUUGCCAAGCUCUAGAGAUUCUAGAGAAUUCUACCAACUAUCUAGAUAAUUGCAUGUGCUGGAAAUGUGUGGAGUAUUCUAGAUAUUUACAAGCUUAAAUGUGCUAGAGUUGCCUAGAAUUUUCUGGAAUCGGGCCAAGCUAGCACUCUUGGCCUUGUCUUGGGUUCUCUAGCUCGAAAUUGUGGGCAAUUGGGCUAGUAACUUGGGCAGUCCGCAACAUCCUCGCCCACCUAAGCUCACGGCGUCCUCGUCGCGCUUUCGUGCUUGAAAUUCUGGAUGUGUUCAACGAAUUGCCAUAAAUCAUCUUCGCGUUCCCAAGUGGCUUCACUCUCGGGGAGGUUUUUCCACUUCACCAAGUACUCGUUGUAUUGUGGCACGCCUCUUCUCCAAACUAUGCGGUCCGCAAUGAUGUAGUCCACAUCUUUGUCGAACAUGAUGGCAACGGCGGUUGGUGUACGCCUCGAUUCUCCGCGACGUGGGUCUUCCACAUCUCCGUGAUAUGGCUUGAAAAGGCACGUCAAUGCAUCACGCAUCACUCGUGCUAGCGGAAGCUAAACUAUCGGAGAGUGUGCGCUUGUGCCAUGCCCAAUCCGAACGGACUUCCUUCACUUCUGCACGGACAACGCGUAGUUCAUCCCGAACAAAGCUACGAAGUUUUAGCAACUCAUCAUGAAAGGAUCAAAACUCACCUCGGAGAGUGUUUCUUGCUCUUGGAUGAGGGCUUUUGUUGCCACAGUGAACUCGGAGUAUUCUCCCUUGAGACCGUCCACUCUUUCCUCUAAUCCCUCAAGGUUGUCUUGAGCGAUGGACAAGGCAGUUUCGAGAGUGGCUACACGAGGCUCCAACGCAUCCAUGGAUGGGGCCUUGGACUUGCCGCGUUUGCAUUGGGCGCGAUCUCCCUCACGGCCGCGGCUUGGUUCCAGCGGAACGUCUACACCAAUAACGCCCUCUUACACUGGAUUUGGAGGGUUGGCCAUUGCUCGUGAGCUAACUUGCGUAGGUGCAAACCUUAGCUCUGAUACCACUUGUCACGGGAUGAGUGUUUUGCGCAACAAACCCGUGCGGCACUUAGACAACCUUUGCCGAAUGUUGCUAAGUAAGUCUUGUGUUUCUCGACUAGCUAAACCUAGAGGUUUUCAAAGAGUUAGAGGGAAGAGAGCAAUGAAGCCGAAUAAGAGAAAUUGUAUUGCUUUCAAGAGAGAUUACAAGAGAGCUUACAAGUGUUUGAGUUGCUUGCUCUAAGCUUGUUGCUCAAAUGUCAAAUGUCAAAUGUCAUGUACUAGAAAUGUGUUGAGUAUUCUAAAUAUUUACAAGCUUAAAUAUGCUAGAGUUGCCUAGAAUUUUUUGGAAUCGGGCCAAGCUAACACUCUUGGCCUUAUCUUGGGCUCUGCAGCCCGAAAUUAUGGGCAAUUGGACUAGUAACUUGGGUGGUCCGCAACAAUAGGCUUAUUACGUGUCAAAAGUUCUUGGUAGCAAAUAAAUUUUCCGAAUACUACUUCUGCGAUGUGGCAUUCAGCAAAGACUGCAAAAGUUCAAAAGAAACAGAGAUUAAGGGUCACACCGGUAAACAUACUCUUUUAGAGAUGAUUCACAAAUUCUUAAAUACGUCAAAGAUUAAAAUUGAAAAUUAUAAAUAAAAGGUCUCCAUUUAUUUGUAUGCACAUAUAAGCAUAAACUUACGGUUUGUAAUUGGGCUAUGAUCGAUGCAAUUAAAAUUUCCCGCUCUAACAGUACUAAUGCAUCCUCUACCGGCUGCAUAACAAUUCCUGCAUCCAACUGACCAUCUAAGAUCGAAUCCUGUCUCCAGUAAUUCUCGGAGGGUUUCAUAAGAAGGAUUUUCCUCAUUCCCAUUAUGUAUAGGAACCAUUGAAACGAACGAGCAUGACUCUGAAAAAUCUGAUACAUAGGAGCCAUGGUAAUUAACAUAAACAUUCGACUGAUUUCCUCCACUCAAACAUGGAACUCUUAUAAAAGCCUGAUCAAUGAGAUCCGUCGAGCAAUUCACGAAAUAGGCGUACAAGUAUUUAUAAUAAUCAAGCGCAUAAACCCGAUCAGUUUAAAAAAAAUAGCCACCAGCGUAACGCAGGCGAAAGAUUUCUGUGGGAAAAGAUGUGUAUGGAAGGCCGCAGCUUACAUUGGCUAAGUUAACAUCGGCAACACUGAUUGUGCUUUCGUCAUAGGAAAUUCUCUUUACAUAGUACUUUGCAGAAUUGAAUAAUUCUAAGAUGGUUUGGUUGCUCUGGCAGGACAGUUCGAACUCAGGAUAACCGCAUCCCGAUGGAUCUCCCUUUAGGCGAAACGGGUAGCUUAUGUUUUUAAUAUCGCCACAAGAAGAAGAACGGGUUUGUUGAAGUACUUCUCUUGCUUCAGUUUCAGUGGGGAAUAGAUAGAUCAAUAGACAAAACAGAAGAGUUGAGAGAAUUGAUGAUUCUUCCCCACUCAUUGUUAAUCCAAUCCCAGGAUACGAUGAAUUUCAAUAAAUUAAACAGAAGUCCGCAUUUUCAAAGUUUUGGAUACAUAUUUACAUCAUUACUUGACAACGAGCACGUGUAUAUAGUAAAUUUAUUAUAGCAUUCAACUAUCUGAUUCUACUAGCUGAAAAUGAUUUAGCAAUAAUUAAUUGUUCAAAAAUAGUACUAUCUUAUUCUUAAAAAAAUCAUCAACAAAGAUGGGGAAAUUAAAAAGGUUUAAAAGAGCAUAUUAAUUUUAUUUGUUGGGUGCAAGACUCGCAGCAUUCAUGCAAUGGGGGAUUUCGGACACUUUUACAAGUCAGUCAACUCUCAGUAAACGUUUUGAUUGCGAGUUUGCGCUGGUGAUGAUGACUGUAGCUUGACCUGAAAUUUCUUAGUAAACCUUCAAAUUGAGACAAAAAUUCUGUAACAAUUUCCAUGCAUGCAACAAUCCAGUCAACAUCUUUCGGUUGCUACUUUAAUUUCUCACCACAAACUCGCAGACAAUAAUUCAUUUUUUUAUGGGAACACAGAACAUGCUUUGAUUUAUAAAAUAUAUGGUAAUUUUACUUAUUACAUUUGUUUUUGUUUUAAUGUUAUAUUAGUAGUUAUUAUAAAGUAUGAAGUACAUUUGGUUGUUCAAAUAAAGGGUACAAUAAUAUAAAGAGUGCGUGUGUAAAUUGUAAUCAUUUAUUAAACUUAUUAGGGUCUGUGUUAUCAAUAGCAAACUUAAUCAUUUAAAUUUGAGUCUAAAAGGGGAAUCUGAUAUGGUAUGUUUCAUUUUGUUGGUUGACAACAUUCAUAAAUAUUUGUAUCAUUGUUUCCUUCUGAAGUUUUGGCCUCUGUGUAAGGAAGAGAAGGAAGAAGAUUGUUGAACUCAGAAAAAGUGACAUGGAUUAACAGAGAAAGAGAGAUGUUUUUUAGUGUAAUAUUAAAGAUAGCCAUUCAUUUUUGUAUGGCUUAAAAGCAUUUUACUUAAGUCAAUGGCAACCCCACAAGAGAGUAGUCCUCCAUGACACUUGCAGAAAACAAUAAUAAAGAAUAAGCUCAAUGAAGCCAUUGACCUGAUUUUUUGUGAUUACUUUUCAAUGUGGGGGGUAAAAUAACGAAGAAAAUUUCCACCUCAAGAGUUUUAAGUUAAGCUUAGCACACCUCUAGUUAAAUUCUUUUGCCACCCAUAUGGAUAGAUUCAAAUCUCAAACUUGUUGUAUCAACUCAAAAGAUUUCAACAACUAAAUUACCUAUCACUCGUGAAAAGUGUGUGCAUUAGGCUCCAAUUCGAGAUAAAGCAAUGAGAAGAAGAAGAAUAUUUGUCAUUAAUUGCUCGUUAUUCAUUUAUUUAUUUUACAUUCAUCAUUGGCAAAAUUAAACCUAAAUAUCACUGAGAGAUCAUUCCUUCACUGAUUCAGACAUUAACAACUCUGUUGAAGAAUCUGAUUCAAUCUCUCUUCCGGAUAUAUGUCGAGAAGAAAAUGAGAAAGGUUUUGGAGGCAUUUGCAAAUCGUCAAUAUUCCCUUCUAAAAUUUCCAAAACUUUUGUCACAGAGGAGCGACAGCGCCUUAGUCAUAGCUCAGGUAAUAUUUUAACCUAUAUAUUGUUCCUCCUGUGGCUCUGAUGGGAGCAAAAUCAUUUUCCUUGGGAUGAAAUUUUGCAAGGGCCGAAAUCUGAGCCGUUGGGGAAGGAAUUAGGAUCUAGCAGGAUGUUGUGAGACUUAAAUGUUGAAAUGAAGAUUGCACACAUCACAUCCGUUCUGUAAAUACUCGAUCCCGCGAGCCUUUUCUAAAGCAACCUAGCUCAUGGAGUUUCUGCCAACUACCCUCCUUGGGAACUAUAAGCCUAUCAAUAAAGGAAUGCUCUUUCAGCGAUAGUUAUGCUUAAUUUUUUUUUCAAUGAUGUGUUUAAAAAUAGACUAAAGUUUUCGUAUGCUUUAUGCACCCUGUGCUUGCAUGGGAAGGUAUCAUAGGUGCAGAGGUUUCCUCGCUAUCAAAUGUUUUUAUAUUAAUUUUGUGCCACUGUAAUGAUCAGAAUCACAUGCAUUGCAUUUUGAAUUUGCCAUUUAUAAUAAUAAUAAAAAUUUCCACUUCUCCAUGGUUUGGUCGCUCGGAUUUCGAUCAAUUACCUAUUUCAAAAAAAAAAGUCGAUGGAAAAUCUUUAUUUUUAAUCUUGUCAUGGAUAAAACAGUAUUUGUUCGGUAUAAAUUAAUUAAAGCAAAUCUAAUAUGUAAUAGUGUGAAAAGCAUAAAAGAAAUAAUAAGUUAUAUGGUUGGAGGCUCUAAUGAUGUUACCUCUAAGAAACAGUCAGUGUCUCAAUUUUAUUAAAUUUUUAUUAAUUAUAUGUACAUCCUCAGACUAUCAAAGAUACUGUAUUUUAGACCCAUGUAAUAAAAAAAAAUAAUAAGGAUAUUUUCGUAAUUUUGAAAAAACAAAGACCCAAUGAGAAUUCAACUAUUUUUUUAUAAUAAACAUUUUAUUUAAAAACUUGUUCUCAUCUUCGUUGCCCUUUUGGCGUGUAACACCAAUUGUCUUUAAUAUUUUCAAAGUACAAAUGGAGCACAUUUAAGUCGUUGUUUGUAAAUCAUUACGCAACCAGCAGCUUCUAGCUCCCCCAUUGCAAGAUAAAUUGAAGCAAGACCUUAAGGUUCUAUUUGGCAUUGAGCUAUUGAAACGACUCGUCCGAAUCUCCCUCCCAAGUGAGUUUAUCUAGUCUUAUCAAAACGGACUUGAUAAAAAUUUUAUGAGUAAAGAUUCUGCCGAAAAUUCAGCGGAAUCUCCUUUAUAUAUAUAACACUCCCAAUAUAUAAAUAUGAAUAUACCACUCCCAAUACAAUUUAAUAUACAACAAACUCCAGUGAUCAACAUCCUCAACCAAAAUGCUGAGUUUUAUAUCUCCAGAAUUACAAAAGAUAAUAUUAUAAUCCCAAAAGAAUAAUAUAACAAAAGUUUACAAUCACAAAAGAACAAGAUGACCAAAAUAUCCUAACAGAAGCAUCUAUAUCUUGGUCAACGGUCAACGGUCACCGGAAUUUGGUCAACGCUGGCUAGGAAGCUCAAAUCUGAAAGUUCCAAUCACGCUGAGUUCAAUGGUACUGGCGGUGAGCUCCAACACGCGGCAACGGCGCCGGAAUCGAGCUCGGCAGCCGUGAAUUCCAACAAUCGACCGACGGCAAAACAGUGACUCUCGGUGCCUAUGGAUGGUCGAAAAUGGAAGAGGGAGUCGUGGGGAACAAGAUCCAACCGGUGGUGUCACCCAAAACCAGCGAAAAUCCCGGCGGAGCAAAGUGCAACAGUCGCGGGUUUCAAGCUUCGAUCGUCGGUGUUCCGGUUGGUUUUCGGUGACGAGGAUGGCAAGGGAACGACGGUCGGCUUCUAAGCUUCAGAUUGGUACCAAGCUCGGCCGAAAUGGCAGCCGGAAAUGGGAGAUAUGGUCGGGUCAAGGUCGUGGGUUCCAGGUCGGGUUUUCGGGUCUGUAGUUGGGUCGGUUUGGCAGCCUCUCUCUCACUCUCUGUUACACGUGCAUAUGUUGCUCUGUUUUCCAGCUUCUUCUUUUGUUAACUUCUUAACCGCCUCUUUUAUUCAUUUUAAAAUUCACAUAUGUUAUAGUAAAAUUCAACCCAAAGACUUUAUUUAAAAUCUUUACAACAAAUACAAAUCUAUUAUUAAAAUAAAUAUAAUAAUUUAAAUUUUUUGUAUUAUUUUACAUAUAAAAAAUAAUUUAAUAUUAUUAGUCUACUAGAUAGAUUAUAUUAUUUAUAUUAAAUUUUAAUUAAAUAAAAAACUUCAAAGUCAAUUUCCUAAUUAAUAAAUUCAAAGGGUAUUAUGAUUAAAAAUGGGUCUUGAUGUCUCAUUUUAAAAACUUGAGAGUUUUUGUAAUUAUUUUCUCACACCUUAAGGGUAUAAUUAUCUUUUUUCCUCAAUAAUAUUAUAAAUUGAAAAAAUUCAUCCAUAGUUGUAUUAAUGUUGUAUCACUCGAACACAUCAAAGAUUUUAAGCGAUAAAUAAAACAACCAGAGUCAAACAAAAACUCAAUUUAGUGGUUUUCAAGCGUUCCAAUAACAAGAAGGACUAAAUAAUUUAGCUUAUAAUCGGGGAAAAUUUGAAAUAAAUUAACAAUAUCCCUUUUUAAUUGUAAUCUUCUGCUAUCUAGAUCAAUUGAUUGCACCUGCCUCAACAUCAGCAGAGACAAAGGGCAUUGGAGGGAUCUCCAAGCUUUGUAAAUCAGCUUCAAGCAUUUGUAACACAAUUGGCAUGGAAGGUCUCUCCGUGGGAUUCCAUUGAAUGCACCAAAUUGCCACAAUUGCAAGCUUUCUCGCAAUUCCCUCAUCCCCAUCUUCCUCAAAAUCCAAACAGAGCUCUUGUCCUAGCCUCAUUCUAUUGUAAAUCCACUCUGGAAAAUAUAUUUGGCUCUGAAUUUCAACCGCAGGAUCAUUAUUUUUUCUGCAUCCGACCAUCUCUAACAGCAUCAUUCCGUAACUGUAAACAUCAGACUUGUAAGAGAUCUCACCAAAAUUCCUGGAGAAAAGUUCAGGUGCAAUGUAGCCAGAAGUGCCUCUGGCAGCUGUCAGAGAUACAAUGCUUAUGUCCUUUGAGCACAACUUAGCCAGUCCAAAAUCUGAAAUCUUCGGUUGAAAAUUAUGGUCUAAUAAUAUAUUGUGAGGCUUGAUAUCGAAGUGCAGGAUCCUCUGGUUGCAUCCUUGGUGCAAGUACUCCACUCCACGGGCAACGCCAAAUGCAAUCUUCCUCAGCUUCUCCCAACUCAAUUGACGGUGACUUGAGCUAUUUGUCUUUGAGAAGAUGAAUUUCUCAAGUGAUCCAUUGGGCAUAAACUCGUAAAUAAGAGCGCGACGAUUCCCUUCAGAGCAAAAUCCCAGAAGCCGAACAAUGUGAAAGUGGUGAAUCCUGCCAAUUGUGGCCACUUCAUUGAUGAACUCUUGUCCAUUUCCUUUUAAAUGUUCCAACAUCUUGACAGCAACUGGAAUUCCGUUGAAGAGUUUUCCUCUGAACACACUUCCAUAACCUCCCUGGCCGAGCCUGUGCUUAAAUCUGCUUGUUAUUUUCUUCAGUUCUUUGUAAGUAUAUCUGGUAGGAUUGACGGUCCUGUAGUUUUCUAGGAACUUCUCCACCUUCAGUUGAGUCUCUUUUUCUUUUUCAGAUUCUCUUGAUCUGUAAAUAAGAAAUAUCACUAACGCAAAGAGGGUGAUGCCUCCAAUGCUUGUGCCUGUGGAUAUUAGACUUAUAGAUGAAGGGCCAGGACCAUCUGUUACAAUAAAAUGAGAUGCUAAAAGUUAGUUAAAAAAUCAACUCAAACAAUAAAAUGAGAUGCUAAAAGUUUGGACCCGUGCAAGCUUUACUUGGUAGCAUAAAGACUCAAUAUUAUUUUAUUGGGCUUUAACAAGUCCCUCUCAUGUGACCAUCUCAUAUAGGUAUUUGUCCAUAACUUAAAUGAGAAUUAUAUAUCUUAUUCACAUGGGUGGAUAGAUAAUUAGGUUGUCAUUUAACUAAAUAAUGAAAAAA
rnacentral:lncRNA from 1 species